rnacentral:lncRNA from 1 species
UUCAGAAACGGUCAUUUGUUUGGGGAACGAAAAUAAUUGUAACCAGGCCAGAUGACAUAUUUAUAGGUUUCCAGGGGAAACAGAAACUUACCUCAAAUAAAAAGUUGCAAGUGGUCAAUGUAAUUAAAAAAGAAAAGUAGUGAAAUUAUCCAAGAACAAGGUGGGGCUUGGUGUAGGAAAAUAGCCUUUAAUUCACACAUAAGAGUAACAUACAAAGGGAAUACACCAUUUUUAAUUGGCCUCAGUCUCCUGAGUAGCUGGGACUACAUGGGUGCACCAACAUACAUCUCUAUAUUAUAACAGUUAUAU